AUUGAACGCUGGCGGCAUGCCUUACACAUGCAAGUCGAACGGUAACAGGUCUUCGGAUGCUGACGAGUGGCGAACGGGUGAGUAAUACAUCGGAACGUGCCUAGUAGUGGGGGAUAACUACUCGAAAGAGUGGCCAAUACCGCAUGAGAUCUACGGAUGAAAGCAGGGGAUCGCAAGACCUUGUGCUACUAGAGCGGCCGAUGGCAGAUUAGGUAGUUGGUGGGAUAAAAGCAUACCAAGCCGACGAUCAGUAGCUGGUCUGAGAGGACGAUCGGCCACACUGGGACUGAGAAACGGCCCAGACUCCUACGGGAGGCAGCAGUGGGGAAUUUUGGACAAUGGGCGCAAGCCUGAUCCAGCAAUGCCGCGUGCAGGAUGAAGGCCUUCGGGUUGUAAACUGCUUUUGUACGGAACGAAAAGCCCCGGGUUAAUACCCUGGGGUCAUGACGGUACCGUAAGAAUAAGCACCGGCUAACUACGUGCCAGCCGCCGCGGUAA
rnacentral:rRNA from 1 species